UACGUAGGGUGCAAGCGUUAAUCGGAAUUACUGGGCGUAAAGCGUGCGCAGGCGGCUUUGCAAGACAGAUGUGAAAUCCCCGGGCUCAACCUGGGAACUGCAUUUGUGACUGCAAGGCUGGAGUACGGUAGAGGGGGAUGGAAUUCCGCGUGUAGCAGUGAAAUGCGUAGAUAUGCGGAGGAACACCGAUGGCGAAGGCAAUCCCCUGGACCUGUACUGACGCUCAUGCACGAAAGCGUGGGGAGCAGAACGA
rnacentral:rRNA from 1 species